GAUGAAGAACGUAGCAAAGUGCGAUAACUAGUGUGAAUUGCAUAUUCAGUGAAUCAUCGAGUCUUUGAACGCAACUUGCGCUCGAUGGUAUGCCAUUGAGCACGCCUGUUUCAGUAUCAAAAACACCCCACAUUCAUAAUUUUGUUGUGAAUGGAAAUGAGAGUUUCGGCUUUAUUGCUGAAUUCUUUAAAAUUAUUAGGCCUGAACUAUUGUUCUUUCUGCCUGAACAUUUUUUUAAUAUAAAGGAAUGCUCUAGUAAAAAGACUAUCUCUGGGGCCUCCCAAAUAAAUCAUUCUUAAAUUUGAUCUGAAAUCAGGCGGGAUUACCCGCUGAACUUAAGCAUAUCAAUAAGCGGAGGA
rnacentral:misc_RNA from 1 species